ACCGGCAGCUCAAGUGGUGGCCAUUAUUAUUGGGCCUAAACGGUCGUCACCCGUUUGAUAAAUCUCUGGGGGAAUCCCGCCGCUUAACUGUGGGACUUGCUGGAGAUACUAUCAGACUUGAGGUCGGGAGAGGUUAGGGGUACUCCCAGGGUAGGGGUGAAAUCCUAUAAUCCUGGGAGGACCACCUGUGGCGAAGGCGCCUAACUGGAACGAACCUGACGGUGAGUAACGAAAGCCAGGGGCGCGAACCG
rnacentral:rRNA from 1 species